CCGUAAAAUCAAUUAACACCAAUCAACGCCAGGGUACUACGAGCUCCAGCUUAAAACCCAAAGGACUUGACGGUGUCCCACCCAACUAGAGGAGCCUGUUCUAUAAUCGAUGAUCCACGAUACACCCGACCAAUUUUUGCUCUCAGCCUGUAUACCUCCGUCGCCAGCCUACCAUAUUACUGAAAAAUAGUAGACUUAAGGACUUUAAAGCCCCAACGUCAGGUCAAGGUGCAGCUUAUAAAAUGGAAAAGGAUGAGCUACAAUUUCUAACUUAGAACACACAAAAUGCUACAUGAAACAUAGUUACGAAGAUGGAUUUAGUAGUAAAUGGGGAAUAGAGAGCCCCAUUAAAUUAGGCCCUGGGACGUGUACAAACCGCCCGUCACCCUCUUCAACAGCCCCCCCCCCAGUUAAAUAAAACAUCUUAGCACCCUAGAAGAGGCAAGUCGUAACAUGGUAAGUGUACUGGAAAGUGCACUUGGAAUAU
rnacentral:rRNA from 1 species